CAUCAACAGCGUCAGGAGUCAGAGAGGAACUUUCUGAAAUCUGCAGAGGAGGAGGAGGAGGAGGAAGACGGAGUCUCCUUUCGGCUUGGAAGUGCUGAUCCAAAGCCUGAUAAAUGUUCGGGAGAAGGAGGUUUUUGUCGUUUCCUUUGGUUAUCGGAGCUGUUGUGAUUGGGGUCGUCUCUGGAAAAGCUAUUUUUGGACCUCCACUUGAUGACUACUGGAAGAAGAAACUUAAAGAAGAGGCGGCAGCAAAAGAGAAUAAGCAAGCUUCUCAUAGCUGAUGAUAUAAUCUCCUCAAAAGUAUACAAGGCCAUGAUAUUGUGAUUCAUCCAAGUCUCCUAAGAACUGAUAACAGCAACGAAUGUUGCCUUCGGGAGGCAGUUUGCCCAUCAACUUCUUUUAGGGAUACCAGUAUCUGCCAUCUGGUUAUGGUUUUGGCGGACCCGUUCAACUCCAGAAGUUUGUGUUACAAAAUGAAUCAUGUCAUUGGUAUCUAGGAUUCAAGGUGUUUUAUUGUUUUUCAUUUGCUUUAAGCUUGAUUCUACUAUGGCCAAACAUAUGUAGAAGAUUUAUAUGCAAUUGAGGAGUUUCUUAGUGUAUCAGAAACGAAUUGUACUUCACAUUUAAGAUUAUAAUAUCCAAGUUAACGAUUUCAGAAGCUGGCAACAGCUCAA